GCCCUCUUAGCUCAGUCGUAGAGCGUGUCACUCGUAGCGUCGGAUGGUGCCGAUGACAAGGUCGGUUGUUCAAUCCAGCCAGGGGGCA